GAUGAACGCUGGCGGCGUGCCUAAUACAUGCAAGUCGAGCGAAUGGAUUAAGAGCUUGCUCUUAUGAAGUUAGCGGCGGACGGGUGAGUAGCACGUGGGUAACCUGCCCAUAAGACUGGGAUAACUCCGGGAAACCGGGGCUAAUACCGGAUAACAUUUUGAACCGCAUGGGUCGAAAUUGAAAUGCGGCUUCUGCUGUCACUUAUGGAUGGACCCGCGUCGCAUUGGCUAGUUGGGGAGGUAACGGCUCACCAAGGCAACGAUGCGUAGCCGACCUGAGAGGGUGAUCGGCCACACUGGGACUGAGACACGGCCCAGACUCCUACGGGAGGCAGCAGUAGGGAAUCUUCCGCAAUGGACGAAAGUCUGACGGAGCAACGCCGCGUGAGUGAUGAAGGCUUUCGGGUCGUAAAACUCUGUUGUUAGGGAAGAACAAGUGCUAGUUGAAUAAGCUGGCACCUUGACGGUACCUAACCAGAAAGCCACGGCUAACUACGUGCCAGCAGCCGCAGUAA
rnacentral:rRNA from 1 species